AUUGAACGCUGGCGGCAGGCCUAACACAUGCAAGUCGAGCGAGCGGCGGACGGGUGAGUAAUGUAUGGGGAUCUGCCUGAUGGCGGGGGAUAACUACUGGAAACGGUAGCUAAUACCGCAUACCAUCAGAUGAACCCAUAUGGGAUUAGCUUGUAGGUGAGGUACAGGCUCACCUAGGCGACGAUCCCUAGCUGGUCUGAGAGGAUGAUCAGCCACACUGGGACGUAGCCACGGCCCAGACUCCUACGGGAGGCAGCAGUGGGGAAUAUUGCACAAGGGGCGCAAACCGGAUGCAGCCAUGCCGCGUGUAUUAAGAAGGCCUUCGGGUUGUAAAGUACUUUCAGUCGGGAGGCGUUACCCGCAGAAGAAGCACCGGCUAACUCCGUGCCAGCCGCCGCGGUAAUUC
rnacentral:rRNA from 1 species